UACGUAGGGUGCGAGCGUUAAUCGGAAUUACUGGGCGUAAAGCGUGCGCAGGCGGUUCGUUGUGUCGGUGGUGAAAUCCCCGGGCUUAACCUGGGAAUGGCCAUGGAAACUGGCGAACUGGAGUGCGGCAGAGGGGGUGGAAUUCCGCGGUGGUAGCAGUGAAAUGCGUAGAGUAAUGCGGAGGAACACCGAUGGCGGAAGGGCAAUCCCCUG
rnacentral:rRNA from 1 species